GAGUUUGAUCAUGGCUCAGAUUGAACGCUGGCGGUAGGCUUAACACAUGCAAGUCGUGCGAGAAAGUAUCUUCGGAUAUGAGUAGAGCGGCGGACGGGUGAGUAACGCGUAGGAAUCUACCUAGUAGAAGGGGAUAGCCCGGGGAAACCCGGAUUAAUACCGUAUACCUCCUUCGGGAGAAAGAAGGCCUCUCUUUGAAGCUUUCGCUACUAGAUGAGCCUGCGUAAGAUUAGCUUGUUGGUGAGGUAAAGGCUCACCAAGGCGACGAUCUUUAGCUGGUCUGAGAGGACGAUCAGCCACAUUGGGACUGAGACACGGCCCAGACUCCUACGGGAGGCAGCAGUGGGGAAUAUUGGACAAUGGGCGCAAGCCUGAUCCAGCCAUACCGCGUGUGUGAAGAAGGCCUUCGGGUUGUAAAGCACUUUAAGCAGGGAGAAAAAGUUAUAAGUUAAUACCUUAUAACCCUGAUGUUACCUGCAGAAUAAGCACCGGCUAAUUCCGUGCCAGCAGCCGCGGUAAUACGAAGGGACCUAGCGUAGUUCGGAAUUACUGGGCUUAAAGAGUUCGUAGGUGGUUGAAAAAGUUGGUGGUGAAAUCCCAGAGCUUAACUCUGGAACUGCCAUCAAAACUUUUCAGCUAGAGUAUGAUAGAGGAAAGCAGAAUUUCUAGUGUAGAGGUGAAAUUCGUAGAUAUUAGAAAGAAUACCAAUUGCGAAAGGCAGCUUUCUGGAUCAUUACUGACACUGAGGAACGAAAGCAUGGGUAGCGAAGAGGAUUAGAUACCCUCGUAGUCCAUGCCGUAAACGAUGUGUGUUAGACGUUGGAAAUUUAUUUUCAGUGUCGCAGGGAAACCGAUAAACACACCGCCUGGGGAGUACGACCGCAAGGUUAAAACUCAAAUGAAUUGACGGGGACCCGCACAAGUAGUGGAGCAUGUGGUUUAAUUCGAAGAUACGCGCAGAACCUUACCAACACUUGACAUGUUCGUCGCGACUCUAAGAGAUUAGAGUUUUCGGUUCGGCCGGACGAAACACAGGUGCUGCAUGGCUGUCGUCAGCUCGUGUCGUGAGAUGUUGGGUUAAGUCCCGCAACGAGCGCAACCCUCACUUUUAGUUGCCAUCAUUAAGUUGGGCACUCUGAAAGAACUGCCAGUGAUAAGCUGGAGGAAGGUGGGGAUGACGUCAAGUCCUCAUGGCCCUUACGUGUUGGGCUACACACGUGCUACAAUGGCAUCUACAACAGGAAGCAAAACGGCAACGUUAAGCAAAUCCCGAAAAGAUGCCUCAGUUCGGAUUGCACUCUGCAACUCGAGUGCAUGAAGCUGGAAUUACUAGUAAUCGUGGAUCAGCGUGCCACGGUGAAUGCGUUCCCGGGUCUUGUACACACCGCCCGUCACACCAUGGGAGUUGGUUCUACCUUAAGGCAAGGUUUCAAACCCUUGACCACGGUAUAGUCAGCGACUGGGGUGAAGUCGUAACAAGGUAACC
rnacentral:rRNA from 1 species